GCGUCCAUAGCUCAAUUGGAUAGAGCAUCAGACUUCGGAUCUGAGGGUUGGGGGUUCGACUCCCUCUGGGCGUGCCA
rnacentral:tRNA from 1 species